CCUAGCGAGCUCCUCUGUAGCGAGCUAGCAAGCUUAUCUUUAGCAAGCUAGGGAGUUCCUCUGUGGCAUGCUAGUGAGUUCUUUAGUAGCAUGCUAGCUAGCUUAUCUUUAGCGAGCUAGUGAGUUUCUCUGUAGUAUCCUUGUGAGUUCCUCUGUAGCAAGUUAGCUAGCUUAUCUUUAGGGAGCUCCACAGUAGAGAGUUAGCAGGCUCCACUGUAGCAUGCUAGCAAGCUCCUCUGUAGUGAGCUAGCAAGCUCCUCUGUUGCAUGUAAAUGAGUUCCUCUGUAGCAAGUUAGCAAGCUAAUCUUUAGGGAGCUCCACUAUAGAGAGUUAGCAGGCUCCACUGGAGCAUCCUAGUGAGUUCCUCUGUAGCAUGCUAGCUAGCUUAUCUUUAGCGAGCUAGUGAGUUUCUCUGUAGCAUCCUAGUGAGUUCCUCUGUAGCAUGCUAGCUAGCUUAUCUUUAGCGAGCUAGUGAGUUCCUCUGUAGCAUGCUAGCUAGCUUAUCUUUAGCGAGCUUGUGCGUUUCUCUGUAGCAUCCUAGUGAGUUCCUCUGUAGCCAGAUCACGGAUCUUAGGUCACCUGGGGUCUCUGGUGUGAAUGGUGAUUUGUCCUCUGUGAUGGACUGGUGACGUGUCCUGAUUGAUGGGAUGGGAUAGGCUCCAGCAACGCCCAAAGGGAUUAAUUGGAUUUGGGUUGUAGAUGAUCGAUUCUGGUCACAUUUUUGGCUGCCGAACCAACUUCAAUCAUCUAAAAUGUCAACAGUUGGUGUCAUAUGACAAUAAACCAAAGCAAAGAAGGCCGCAGAGAAAGAGGCAAAAGCUAAGAAGCAGAAAGGUCCAAAACCCACCAAGAAACCCAAGGCCCCAAAACCAACCAAGAAACCAAAACCACCAAAACCCACCAAGAGGCCAAAGGUCCCCAAAGCCACCAAGAGGCCGAAGACGACGACCUCAGCGCCACUGGACGAGGAGGAGAAGCUCCUGA
rnacentral:lncRNA from 1 species